AACGAACGCUGGCGGCAGGCUUAACACAUGCAAGUCGAACGCGUGUAGCAAUACACGAGUGGCGCACGGGUGAGUAACGCGUGGAUAUCUGCCUUUUGGUUCGGAAUAACUCCGGGAAACUGGAGCUAAUACCGGAUGGUUCCUACGGGAUAAAGAUUUAUCGCCAAAAGAUGAGUCCGCGUACGAUUAGCUAGUUGGUGAGGUAAUGGCUCACCAAGGCGACGAUCGUUAGCUGGUCUGAGAGGACGAUCAGCCACACUGGGACUGAGACACGGCCCAGACUCCUACGGGAGGCAGCAGUGGGGAAUAUUGGACAAUGGGGGCAACCCUGAUCCAGCCAUGCCGCGUGAGUGAUGAAGGCCUUCGGUGUAAGCUCUUUUGGUCGGGGACGGAUGAUGACGGUACCCGCAGAAUAAGACCCUGGCUAACUUCGUGCCAGCAGCCGCGGUAA
rnacentral:rRNA from 1 species